rnacentral:tRNA from 1 species
ACCUCUUAGGCGGAUUAGCGCGUUAAGUUUAGAACUUAAAAUUAGAUAAUUUAUCAAGCGGUG